rnacentral:rRNA from 1 species
UUCGAUUUGAACCUCGAAUAGCCAAUAAUCAUUUGAUGCCCUUUUUGCACGCUUUCACACCAGAACCUGGCUCAUCAGUGAUUUUAUUUGUCAUAAUCAUUGCUGAGACAGGCUCUGUAGAGGGCGUAUAAUCCGAAAGGCGAAUAAGCGUUUCGAUUUGGAUUGCCUCGCGAUUGCGGGGUGAAAAUGUUUGUAGAAUACUUCUGACAGGUUGGUUUAUGAGUGCGAAUACCGAAGCUCAAGGGAGCGGGCGCGGCCUGGAAGCGAUGAAGUGGAUAGUUGUUGCCAUAUUGCUGAUCGUCGCAAUCGUCGGCAACUACCUCUAUCGCGACAUGAUGCUGCCGCUGCGUGCGCUGGCCGUAGUAAUUCUGAUUGCUGCAGCGGGUGGUGUCGCGCUGUUGACGACAAAAGGUAAAGCAACCGUUGCUUUUGCCCGUGAAGCGAGAACCGAAGUCCGUAAGGUCAUUUGGCCGACUCGCCAGGAAACGCUGCACACCACGCUGAUCGUCGCUGCGGUUACCGCAGUUAUGUCACUGAUCCUGUGGGGACUGGAUGGUAUUCUGGUUCGCCUGGUAUCCUUUAUCACUGGCCUGAGGUUCUGAGAUGUCUGAAGCACCUAAAAAGCGCUGGUACGUCGUUCAGGCGUUUUCCGGUUUUGAAGGCCGCGUAGCCACAUCGCUGCGCGAGCAUAUCAAAUUACACAAUAUGGAAGAGCUGUUUGGCGAAGUCAUGGUGCCGACUGAAGAAGUCGUUGAGAUCCGUGGCGGCCAGCGUCGCAAAAGCGAACGCAAAUUCUUCCCGGGUUACGUUCUGGUCCAGAUGGUCAUGAACGACGCAAGCUGGCACCUGGUGCGCAGCGUGCCGCGUGUGAUGGGCUUUAUCGGCGGUACGUCAGACCGUCCGGCGCCGAUCAGCGACAAAGAAGUCGAUGCGAUCAUGAACCGCCUGCAGCAGGUUGGCGAUAAGCCGCGGCCGAAAACUCUGUUUGAACCGGGUGAAAUGGUUCGUGUUAACGACGGUCCGUUCGCAGACUUUAACGGCGUUGUCGAAGAAGUCGAUUAUGAGAAGUCUCGCCUGAAAGUGUCUGUUUCUAUCUUCGGUCGUGCGACCCCGGUAGAGCUGGACUUCAGCCAGGUUGAGAAAGCGUAAGGCUGCGAUCAAAAAAGCAGCGAUCUAAUCGUUGCAUAGGGCGCGAAAUUGACAUACAAUUUCGCGCCUUUUGUUUUUAUGGGCCUUAUGCCCAUAAAGCGAUAUUUAUCACGGGGAGCUUCUUUGAAGCGAUACUACCCAAUUCGAGGAAUUUAGAAUGGCUAAGAAAGUACAAGCCUACGUCAAGCUGCAGGUUGCAGCUGGUAUGGCGAACCCGAGUCCGCCGGUUGGUCCAGCACUGGGUCAGCAGGGUGUGAACAUCAUGGAAUUCUGCAAAGCGUUCAACGCAAAAACGGAUUCCAUCGAAAAAGGUCUGCCGAUUCCGGUUGUUAUUACCGUUUACGCUGACCGUUCUUUCACCUUCGUUACCAAAACGCCUCCGGCAGCUGUUCUGCUGAAAAAAGCGGCUGGUAUCAAGUCUGGUUCCGGCAAGCCGAACAAAGACAAAGUAGGUAAAAUUUCCCGCGCUCAGCUGCAGGAAAUCGCGCAGACCAAAGCUGCCGACAUGACUGGUGCCGACAUUGAAGCGAUGAUUCGCUCCAUCGAAGGUACUGCACGUUCCAUGGGCCUGGUAGUGGAGGACUAAGAAAUGGCUAAACUGACCAAGCGUAUGCGCGUGAUCCGUGAAAAAGUUGAUGCGACCAAACAGUACGACAUCAACGAAGCUAUUGCCCUGCUGAAAGAGCUGGCCACUGCUAAAUUCAACGAAAGCGUUGACGUUGCCGUUAACCUCGGCAUCGAUGCUCGUAAAUCUGACCAGAACGUUCGUGGCG